rnacentral:rRNA from 1 species
GAGUUUGAUCCUUNGCUCAGAUUGAACGCUGGCGGCAGGCUUAACACAUGCAAGUCGAGCGGGGAAAGGUAGCUUGCUACCUAACCUAGCGGCGGACGGGUGAGUAAUGCUUAGGAAUCUGCCUAUUAGUGGGGGACAACAUCUCGAAAGGGAUGCUAAUACCGCAUACGUCCUACGGGAGAAAGCAGGGGAUCUUCGGACCUUGCGCUAAUAGAUGAGCCUAAGUCGGAUUAGCUAGUUGGUGGGGUAAAGGCCUACCAAGGCGACGAUCUGUAGCGGGUCUGGGAGGAUGAUCCGCCACACUGGGACUGAGACACGGCCCAGACUNCCUACGGGACGCAGCAGA